CCCGGGGGCCCGCGUAGCGCUCCGCGCCCGGCCGCGGAUCCGCCGAGCCCCGGCGGCCACCCAGCACCCCCGCCACCUCCCGCCUCGCCGCCGCCGCCGCGGUUCCUCGCAACUUGCACUGCGCCUUCCCCCCUUUUCUUCUUUCUAAUUUCUUUCAUUUUUUUUAAUUUUUUUUUUUUUUAAUUUUUCCCUCCCUUUCCUCUGUCUCUCUCCCCGCCGUCGGGAGCGGAGCCUCCUCAGCGUAACCCCGAUGGAGCCGACCCCCCGCCCCAGCUGCGAUCGAGGUGCCUUUAAGACCAAAAAAUGAAAGAAAACCUGAUUGAUAUCAACAAAUUCAUUUGCUUCUAGAUGCUGUUAUACAUUUCUGGGAAUCCAGUGCCUAAAAAGCAACCUAUAGAAGUGUACUGCAUCCUUCCUGAUCUUGGAUUAGAGUCCACACUGAAAAAAAACAUUUUUAAAGGGAAUAAGAAUAAAAAUGUCUACCAGACCAAAAAAGAGACUCUAGCAGGAAGCCACAAUCAAUGCACUGCUUCUUUGAAAGUCUGAUCUUGUGCAGAAAGAUGCUCAGACACUUGACCACCUGUACUAAACACAGGUUCCUCUGUAAGCACUUCACACCCCUUUGGAAUUAACCAUGUGUGACAGGUAAUGGAGAGCUUGGUUAUCCCUGGCUGUAGAAAAAACUCUGAAAAUUAGGCUAUGAUGUGCCACAGCCACACUAGGGUGACUGCAUGGAACUCAGCCAAAGCCAAGGAUGAACUAUUCCACUUGUCUGGACACAGGCUGACUCAGGUGGUACUGCUGAAGCAAUCCAGGCACGCAUCUCCUCGUGGUCUCCAUGAGAAGACACAUCUGCGGGGCACAGCCUUUGCAGCUGGUAACCCUGCUAGGACAUACACAACUCUCCUGGCCUCAGUCUCUACGGAUCCAGUUCUUUCUUCAUCAUCCUGUUUACUUACCCCUGUGCUGUCUCUUCACUUCUGGACACAAUCUUGGACAGUCACAGGUGUGUGGGGCUCGCUCCCACUCAAAACAGAUCCAACUCAGCUUACACGAGUGAUUU